rnacentral:lncRNA from 1 species
CGCCUCUCCACACUGACACACAUUCCACUGCCAAAAUUUCUGUUGAAAGAAGAACUCAAAGUAAAAGGAAAGAACAGAAACGGCAAACCUGUUCUAGCCAAAGUUCGAUUACCCCCACUUUAUUUUAGGGUAUUUAAUCUAACAGAUAAAUUGAUUAAUAUAAGCCCGUAUACUUGUAUCUGUAGCUACUAUAUUUAUCAGAUAACUUUCUACUUCACAGCUUAAAGGUUCAAGCUUCAAUCACACCCCAUUAUGCGUCGCCGAAAUCGCGUUGCCAUGUUCUGUUUAUUGUACCCAAUGCCCAUCGAAUAUUAGGCUCAUGGAAAAGAAUGGACACAGCAUAGAUCACGUGAUAAGCAUGCUUUUCUUCAUUUGUCUCUUGAGUCAUUAAUAGAUGAGAUUCAUUUAAAGUCGUUUAGAUGGCUUCAAAGCCUGUCGCUUGUGGCUAACUAUACAUUAUGUAGC